AGCGAACGCUGGCGGCAGGCCUAACACAUGCAAGUCGAACGGACCCUUCGGGGUUAGUGGCGGACGGGUGAGUAACACGUGGGAACGUGCCUUUAGGUUCGGAAUAGCUCCUGGAAACGGGUGGUAAUGCCGAAUGUGCCCUUCGGGGGAAAGAUUUAUCGCCUUUAGAGCGGCCCGCGUCUGAUUAGCUAGUUGGUGAGGUAAUGGCUCACCAAGGCGACGAUCAGUAGCUGAUCUGAGAGGAUGACCAGCCACAUUGGGACUGAGACACGGCCCAAACUCCUACGGGAGGCAGCAGUGGGGAAUCUUGCGCAAUGGGCGAAAGCCUGACGCAGCCAUGCCGCGUGGAUGAUGAAGGUCUUAGGAUUGUAAAAUCCUUUCACCGGUGAAGAUAAUGACUGUAGCCGGAGAAGAAGCCCCGGCUAACUUCGUGCCAGCAGCCGCAGUAAAAC
rnacentral:rRNA from 1 species